ACCUAUGAAGGUCGAAGGGGAAGAAAAGCUGUAUCGAUUGUUGAGAUCUGGCGACUUGUUUAAAUUUCAUCAGCCUCACUUCUAUGAACUCUCAGGCCUCAUGUGUACCAGCUCUCUGCUCUCCUUUGCCUUGGGACGUUCCAUCCCUGGAAGUUUCCCUGCCCACAUCUUUGUAGAGAGUCCAUUCUCCAAGCUUCAGUGUGUCAUCUGUGAGGACUGUGACCAACCUGGUACAUCGCCUCAGGGCAUUCAUUUCAGGCUCCUUCUAAAUGGUCAAGAUCUUGCUUUCUUUUGUAUGUUUGCAAAGAAUAUAUAGUACACUUCCUUGAUCUGUGGUUCCUAAAAUGUGAUUCCCAACAAGCAGCAUCAGGAUCACCUGGAAACUUGAUAGAAAUGUAAAUUCUACAGUCCCUCCUUGGAGCUACAGAUUCAGAAAUUCUGAAGUUUAAGUCCAGCAGUUGGUUAUAAUAAGCUCUCUAGGUGAUUCCAACUCGCACCAAGGCACCCUUGGAAAUGCAAUGCUACAUCUCAAUGGGAUUUUCCAGUACAAAGAUUCUUUUCAAAUAACAUAAUUGUGGAUACACACCACUCCUACAGUGGUAAACCUCAGGUUCUCCUCCUGCCUUUUGCUAAGUAUAUGUCUUGAUGACAAGCCUUCUGCUGAUGAGCUGUGUUUCUGGACCGAUCAUGGUAGAAGUCAAUUAACGUGUCCCUCACUU
rnacentral:lncRNA from 1 species